AUACGUAGGUGGCGAGCGUUAUCCGGAUUUACUGGGUGUAAAGGGCGUGUAGGCGGAUUGGUAAGUUGGAAGUGAAAUACCGCAGCUUAACUGCGGGGCUGCUUUCAAAACUACCAACCUUGAGUGUCGGAGAGGGAAGCGGAAUUCCUAGUGUAGCGGUGAAAUGCGUAGAUAUUAGGAGGAACACCAGUGGCGAAGGCGGCUUUCUGGCCGACAACUGACGCUGAGGCGCGAAAGCGUGGGGAGCAAACAGGAUUAGAUACCCUGGUAGUCCACGCUGUAAACGAUGGAUACUAGGUGUGGGAGGUAUCGACCCCUUCCGUGCCGGAGUUAACACAAUAAGUAUCCCACCUGGGGAGUACGGCCGCAAGGUUGAA
rnacentral:rRNA from 1 species